rnacentral:rRNA from 1 species
UACGAAGGGGGCUAGCGUUGUUCGGAAUUACUGGGCGUAAAGGGCUCGUAGGCGGCCAACUAAGUCGGAUGUGAAAUCCCCAGGCUUAACCUGGGAACUGCAUCCGAUACUGGAUGGCUUGAAUCCGGGAGAGGGAUGCAGAAUUCCAGGUGUAGCGGUGAAAUGCGUAGAUAUCUGGAGGAAUACCGGUGGCGAAGGCGGCAUCCUGGACCGGCAUUGACGCUGAGUGAGCGAAAGCCAGGGGAGCAACGGG